rnacentral:rRNA from 1 species
UAGGGAAUCUUCCGCAAUGGGCGAAAGCCUGACGGAGCAACGCCGCGUGAGUGAUGAAGGUCUUCGGAUCGUAAAACUCUGUUAUUAGGGAAGAACAAUUGUGUAAGUAACUAUGCACGUCUUGACGGUACCUAAUCAGAAAGCCACGGCUAACUACGUGCCAGCAGCCGCGGUAAUACGUAGGUGGCAAGCGUUAUCCGGAAUUAUUGGGCGUAAAGCGCGCGUAGGCGGUUUUUUAAGUCUGAUGUGAAAGCCCACGGGUCAACCGUGGAGGGUCAUUGGAAACUGGAAAACUUGAGUGCAGAAGAGGAAAGUGGAAUUCCAUGUGUAGCGGUGAAAUGCGCAGAGGUAUGGAGGAACACCAGUGGCGAAGGCGACUUUCUGGUCUGUAACUGACGCUGAUGUGCGAAAGCGUGGGGAUCAAACAGG